UACGGAGGGUGCAAGCGUUGUUCGGAAUUAUUGGGCGUAAAGCGUGCGCAGGCGGUUUUGUAAGUCUGUCGUGAAAGCCCCGGGCUCAACCUGGGAAUUGCGAUGGAGACUGCAAGGCUUGAAUCUGGCAGAGGGGGGUAGAAUUCCACGUGUAGCAGUGAAAUGCGUAGAGAUGUGGAGGAACACCGAUGGCGAAGGCAGCCCCCUGGGUCAAGAUUGACGCUCAUGCACGAAAGCGUGGGGGAGCAAACAGG
rnacentral:rRNA from 1 species